UCCCAGAUCUCAUCCACCUCCCACGAUCUUCUCAGCCUCCUCCUCUCAUUCAGUCCCCUCGACCAUCCACGAUCCCCUGUUACUACUCCUCUCCCCCUCCCCUCAACCCCCUUCACCAAGAUCUACUCUACCGCGGUGAUCUUCCUCCUCCUCCCUACUUCCCCUAGGCCCCAAUCCCGUCCACCAAGAUCUUCUCUCAAACAAAGAUCUUCCUCCUCUCCCCCCUAAUCCCCCGCCCCUCUCACGAUCGGCUUUGUCUCCUCCCCCAUCCAACAAAACCCCCUCCACCUAGAUCUACUGUGCCAUUGAGAUCUUCUUCCUCCUCCCCUCAAUCUCCUCCACCCAGAUCUACUAUAUCUCCGAGAUCUCGCCCCUUCUACCGCCACGAUCCGCUCUGUCUCCUCUCCCUCGCCCCUCCAAUCUACUCCACCUAGAUCUACACUUCAAUCGAGAUCUUCUAGUGGGUGGUAGGUCUUUCCGUCAUCUGACCUCCUAAUCGGCAUACUUUUGGAGCUACCACGCCAUGGAGCAGCACUUACCCUAAUCCACUGCGCCACCCGUGGAGCACCCAGAAUGGGUGAUAUAAACAAGAGGAAGAAAUUAGCGCAAGAGAGUUGUAAUUUUGGAAUCUCAGACCUCCCGGAUGAUAUGCUUGAGCACAUAGUAUCCUUCCUAUCAUUGAAUGAGGCCGUGAGGACUUGUGUUCUUUCCAAGAAUUGGAGCUACAUAUGGAAAUUUGUGCCUACCCUACGUAUUUCUGAUACAAUCGAUAAAUGUAACAACUUAAUAGACAAUUUUUUGCGUGGCCGUGGAAACACCGCAAUCAUUGUUUGUGAUAUCGAGUUGACUAAUCUCGAGAAGGUAGAAAUGCAUGACAUGAUAGACACAUGGAUCUUUCAUAUCGUGAAUCUUUGCCAUGUUCAGGAGCUCAGAGUCAUUAGCUGUAUAGAGGAUGAUUUCCUACAGUUCAGGGAUCAAGCUCUCAUCUCCAAGCACUUGAAGAGGUUAGAGCUUGAUAAGGUUUGCUUAAAAGCUAGCACUAUUGAUUUCUCAAGCUGCCCUGCAUUGGAAGAAAUAGAUCUGAUGUUUUGUUGGAUUGAAGCAAAUUACAUUAUAUCAAAGUCAUUAAAGCGCCUGAUUGCAGUGGAAUGUGAAUUUGAUAGUGGGUGCACGCACUCACAUUUCUGUCCCCAACCUCAUCUUUCUUAAGUUAACUGAUAUUUGGCAUUAUACUCCUUUAUUUGAAGCCAUGCCUUCACUUGAAGUUGGAUAUGUCAGUCUAGGCGAGGACUGUUUAGACUAUUGUAACAAUAAUAAAUCUUGGGGAUGUGAUAAUGUGGACUGCGGUUUUGGUUGCACUGAUGGUUACAAAUAUGAUAGCAUUCUUCUGGAAGGUUUAUCAAAUGCCAGUUACUUGGAGUUGCUAAGUGAACCAAGCAUGUUCAUUUUUGAUAGGGAUUUGCGGCGAUGCCCUACAUUUCGAAACUUGAGGACACUGAUACUCAAUGAAUGGUUUUUGGUUGCUAACCUCCAUGGACUUGCACGCGUUCUUCGCAACUCACCUAUUCUAGAGGAGCCGAAUCUCCUACUUUUAGAGGAGCCUAAAGAGGUGGUCGAAUCUAACGGAGAACAUUAUCAACUGGAACAUCCCCUAUUAAUGGAGACCCUUAAGGAAGUCAAAGUCAAUUGUGAAAGACAAUAUAUGUGGGUUCAGGAAAUAAUAAAUAUUUUGAUUACUUUUGGUAUAUCGCCUGAGAUAAUUAUUGUCAAAGAGAGCCAAAUGCAUCCAGAUGUCAUUUAGCUAUUGGGCUUUUAAAACUCCAAAGAUUUAUUACUCCCCUACUUUUCUUAGUGGACUGAAUCAUGUAUGUCAACUCAGCAAUGGAGAUAUAUUACCCCUGCACAAGUGCACCUAUUUUCUUAUUGUAGUUUGCAUACAUAUACAUAGACCGUGAGUUGUAUUCUUAAACUUGCAUGAAAAUAUACAAGGCGACAUAUUGACAGAUCUUGACAACAAAAUGUAUGUUUUAAAUUUGAUUGUAUUCUGAAUUUA